GACGAACGCUGGUGGCGUGCUUAACACAUGCAAGUCGAACGGGAUUUAGUAAACAGAAGCCUCGGUGGAAGAUUACUAAUGAGAGUGGCGAACGGGUGAGUAACGCGUGAGCAACCUGCCUAUGACAGUGGGAUAGCCUCGGGAAACCGGGAUUAAUACCGCAUAAAAUCGUAGAAACACAUGUUUUAACGGUCAAAGAUUUAUCGGUCAUAGAUGGGCUCGCGUCUGAUUAGCUAGUUGGUGAGAUAACAGCCCACCAAGGCGACGAUCAGUAGCCGGUCUGAGAGGAUGAACGGCCACAUUGGAACUGAGACACGGUCCAAACUCCUACGGGAGGCAGCAGUGGGGAAUAUUGCACAAUGGAGGAAACCCUGAUGCAGCGACGCCGCGUGAACGAAGAAGGUAUUCGUAUCGUAAAGUUCUGUCCUAUGGGAAGAUAAUGACAGUACCAUAGAAGAAAGCUCCGGCUAAAUACGUG
rnacentral:rRNA from 1 species